rnacentral:rRNA from 1 species
ACGCUCCACCCGUUGUGGUGCUCCCCCGCCAAUUCCUUUAAGUUUCAGCCUUGCGGCCGUACUUCCCAGGUGGCUCGCUUCACGGCUUCCCUACGGCACCGACAACGGUCGCACCGUGGCCGACACCUAGCGAGUAUCGUUUACGGCUAGGACUACCCGGGUAUCUAAUCCGGUUCGUGCCCCUAGCUUUCGUCCCUUGCCGUCAGGUCCGUUCUGGUGAGACGCCUUCGCCACUGGUGGUCCUUCAAGGAUUACAAGAUUUCACCCCUACCCCUGAAGUACCUCUCACCUCUCCCGGCCUCGAGCCGAACAGUAUCUCCUGAAAGCCCAACAGUUGAGCUGCUGGAUUUCUCAAGAGACUUAUCCGGCCGGCUACAGACCCUUUAGACCCAAUAAUAACGGUUACCACUCGAGCCGCCGGUGUUACCGCGGCGGCUGGCACCGGUCUUGCCCGGCCCUUGCUAUGCAAUGCUUUUUAGGCAUCACGACAGCCAGAUUUGUAACCUGGCACUCGAGGUCCCCUUAUCGCCGUUGCCGGCAUUGUAAAGUUUUCGCGCCUGCUGCACCCCGUAGGCCUGGAUUCGUGUCUCAGAUCCAUCUCGGGCUCUUGCUCU